UACGGGGGGGGCAAGCGUUGUUCGGAAUUCCUGGGCGUAAAGGGCUCGUAGGCGGCCAACUAAGUCCGACGUGAAAUCCCCAGGCUUAACCUGGGAACUGCGUCGGAUACUGGAUGGCUUGAAUUCGGGAGAGGGAUGCAGAAUUCCAGGUGUAGCGGUGAAAUGCGUAGAUAUCUGGAGGAAUACCGGUGGCGAAGGCGGCAUCCUGGACCGACAUUGACGCUGAUGAGCGAAAGCUAGGGGAGCAAACGGG
rnacentral:rRNA from 1 species